UUUAUUCACCGUAAUGUUUCCUCUUCAUCUAUGGCCGAUGUUUGGAAAUUCCUCAGAUCUCUUGGCCUGGGAAAACCCCCCAAUAGUUUUAAUGGCAGUUUAUUUUCUCUCAAUGACCUUAACAGACAUUUUUCCUCCGCUCCUUCUAUUGACACCGCUAUUAAGGCCACUACCCUAUCUGACAUCUCUUCUUUGCCUUCUCCUGUCACAGAUUAUUUCUCAUUCUGUCCUGUCUCUGAAUUUGAUAUAAAAGUCAUUAUUAAGGCUAUCAAGUCAAAAGCCGUGGGUUGUGAUGAUGUCAGUCGUUACAUGAUUGUGUCAGUCCUCGACUGUGUGCUUCCUGUGAUAGCUGACAUCAUCAACUCUUCACUGGCCUGUGGUGAAUUCCCUUCUCUUUGGCCAGGCAUCCGAGUUGACCGGUCUUUGUCUGACUGGUAUGAUCUGGCGACUGGCGUGCCUCAAGGAGGUAUCUUAUCCCCACUUCUUUUUUCCACCUUUAUUAAUUUUAUUACACCUGACCUUCGCUGUUCCUACCAUCUGUAUGCUGACGACUUGCAACUCUACGACCAGUGCUCCGUGACUGACCUCCCAACUUGCAUUGAUAAACUUAACCUGGACCUUUUUCAUAUCCAGAAGUGGUCUGAGAGGUUUGGCCUCUUUGUAAAUCCGUCAAAGUGCCAGGCUAUUGUUAUGGGUAGUUCCAAACAGCUUGAAAAACUAGACUUGGACGCACUUGCACCUGUUAGCUUUAACGGCUCCCCAAUAACAUUUAGUCGGAGCGUUAAAGACUUGGGCGUUCUUUUCGACAACACCUUGAGUUGGAGAGCACAGGUUACUGAAAUCAGUCGUAAGGUCAUGGGCUCACUUCAUUAUCUGAACAAACUGAAACACUUCUUACCGGCCAAAACUAAAGUUGCAUUAGUUAACGCCCUUAUACUACCCAUUAUUGACUAUGGUGAUGUCUGUUAUCCGGACAUAAACGAAGAGCUUCUUGAUAAAUUGGACCGCCUGCUUAAUAACUGCAUUCGCUUUAUUUUUUGCCUCCGCAAAUAUGAUCACGUUUCUUCUUUUCGCUCUCAGCUUGGCUGGCUUCCCAUUCGACAACGUCGCAAUAUUCGCUUGCUUUCCACUCUUUUUUCUGUGCUUAAUGAUCCACUCUCUCCGGAAUACCUCAAAUCCUUCUUUCAAUACUACGGCGUUUCUCGCGUCCGCCAACUUCGCU